UGCCCGAUAAGUGGGGAACAACAGUUGGAAACGACUGCUAAUACCGCAGUAAUCUGCCGUGAGGCAGGAAAGGUGGCCUCUUAACAAUGCUGCCGCUUAUGGAUGAGCCCGCGUCUGAUUAGCUAGUUGGUGGGGUAAAGGCCUACCAAGGCGACGAUCAGUAGCCGGCCUGAGAGGGUGAACGGCCACACUGGGACUGAGACACGGCCCAGACUCCUACGGGAGGCAGCAGUGGGGAAUAUUGCGCAAUGGGGGAAACCCUGACGCAGCGACGCCGCCGUGAGCGAAGAAGGCCUUAGGGUUGUAAAGCUCUGUUUUAGGGGACGAAUGUUCAUAGGAGUAAUAUGCCUGUGAAAUGACGGUACCCUAAGAGGAAGCCCCGGCUAACUACGUGCCAGCCGCCGC
rnacentral:rRNA from 1 species